rnacentral:rRNA from 1 species
GACGAACGCUGGCGGCGUGCUUAACACAUGCAAGUCGAACGAUGAACCGGUUUCGGCCGGGGAUUAGUGGCGAACGGGUGAGUAACACGUGGGCAAUCUGCCCUGCACUCUGGGAUAAGCCCGGGAAACUGGGUCUAAUACCGGAUACGACACUCCGAGGCAUCUUGGGGUGUGGAAAGUUCCGGCGGUGCAGGAUGAGCCCGCGGCCUAUCAGCUUGUUGGUGGGGUAAUGGCCUACCAAGGCGACGACGGGUAGCCGGUCUGAGAGGGUGACCGGCCACACUGGGACUGAGACACGGCCCAGACUCCUACGGGAGGCAGCAGUGGGGAAUAUUGCACAAUGGGCGAAAGCCUGAUGCAGCGACGCCGCGUGAGGGAUGACGGCCUUCGGGUUGUAAACCUCUUUCAGCAGGGAAGAAGCGAAAGUGACGGUACCUGCAGAAGAAGCACCGGCUAACUACGUG